CGGACAGGUCCGUCUCCUUCGAUUUAAGACACAAACUCAGACCAAAAAAGAAAAAAAGACACGUAAAGACAAACGAAGGGAACUGGUCUGCGGCUGAGCUUGGUCGGAGAUGUUGAAGACCUCCCUUCAGGCUGUUGUGUCUGAGGCAGCGACCACCUGCGUCAAUUCUAUGUCUGAGAGCUUGGCCAACAGGCUCCGCUUGGGGAACUUGACGGAGGAUGGUUUGUCUUAUAAGGAGAGGUUUAUCGUCAGAAGUUAUGAGGUUGGGAUUAAUAAAACAGCAACUGUUGAGACCAUUGCAAACUUUUUGCAGGAGGUUGGUUGCAAUCAUGCUCAGAGUGUCGGAUUUUCUAUUGAUGGAUUUGCCGCAACCCUCGCAAUGAGGAAGUUGCAUCUCAUAUGGGUAACUGCUCGCAUGCACAUUGAAAUAUACAAAUACCUUGCCUGGUGGGUUUUAUUAGCUCACAUCAAUGAUGUUUGUGAAAGUUCUGGGUUUAUAGUUCCGUUGGCCGUUAAAAUAUGCAUAUGUCAAACAAUCACUGUUUGUUCUCUCAUGUUUCUACAAUCGCUGUCCGAGAUGAAUACAUGAUUUACUGCCCCAGAGGCACCGUUUCAUUUCUAGAGGCCUAAACAAUCACUGUUUGUUCUCUCAUGUUUCUACGUGGUAAUUCAUAAUUGGCAACUAGAAGGCUAUAUAUUUACUGAAUUAGGUUUUCAAUAGUGUGGAUAAAUUCCAUCUGCAUAUUUUUAGAGAGAUGGCUGGAUCAAGGGUGAGUUGAGAGGGAAUUUAAUCACGUAAAUUUAGUUCUUUUGGAUAUUUUCUCAUAACAUGUUUUUCUACUGAUCUUUUAAACACCCCUAGCAGAGAAGUUUUAGGCUCGAUUUGACACCAUGAAGAAACAUCUUAGAUGCAUUAGCAUUUGGAAUAAUUUGAGACCAUGAAGUUACAACAUAAAAUUUGGAAGGAGAGUGCGAGGUUACGAAGUUCCUGAGCUGUAGUAUUUUGCUCUACUGUCCCCAGCUCCACUCUUUCUUCACUUGUAUUGCAAAAUUGAACAUUUGCAAUUGGAUGAUGAUGUUCUAAUUCUAAUUUUUGUUCUCAUCUAAGAAAUGAAAUGUUUUUGUUGUGGGAAAUCUCAAGCAACUUGGAAGCACAACCAAAUCAUUGAUUUGUCAAGUAUCCUAAUGAAUUUCAUUUUGCAUGGAUUGUAUCUGAUUCAGAAUAUUUGAUGUAUGUGCAAGAGAUGGUAUCCAUAUCGCUUGUGAGCCCCUCUUCUUCUUCGUCGUCGUCGUCGUCUUCUUCUUUUUCUUUUCAAUUUCCUUUUAUUAUUCCUGCCACAUAUUUGCUUGAAUAUCUAAGAUGGUGUAUAUUGUAUACAAUCAAGCUAACAGGAGGAAAGCUGCAAUUUUCCAGGAGAUUGCCAUGAUUGUAUAGAAUAUGUGGAUAAUUGACUGCAUUCUGUCUCAUUUUGAUUGAUUGGCGGUGUUCACAGAUUAGCGUUUCCAGAGGAUAAUAAUCGCAGCUUGAAAAAGAUUUCAGAACUAGAAGAUCCUGCUUAAUAUUCCAAAUUAGGACUUGUGCCAAGAAUAGCAGAUUUGGAUAUGAAUCAACAUGUUAAUAAUGUCACUUACAUUGGAUGGGUGUUGGAGGAUGGGAAUUGAAAGUAUUCUUGAAUGAUUUCUAUGUUUUUCUUCACCAUCACUUCUUGGUCUUACAUGUUCAUGUCUCUUCAUGACAGAGCAUGCCUCAAGAAAUCAUUGACACCCACGAACUGCUAAACAAUCACUUUGGGUUGUAUAAGGGAAUGUCAACCACUGCCACUGCAACCACUGCCGACCACGACUGGCGAAGCUUUUUACAUCUGCUCAGUUUGUCAAGUGAUAGGCUUGAAAUAAACCACGGCCGCACUGAGUGGAGAAAGAAACCCGCAAGAUAAGCAGUACAUAUCUGUACUUGUUUGCUCCUAUGCCUGUUUCUGAGAGGAGUCCAUUGCUGGUUUCUCUUUUUUGUUUCUGUAACUACCAAGUAAUGUUCUGAAUUUGUGGUGUUAGGCUAGAGAUUUUGUUCAGAAACAUUGUUUGGACUGAGAAAUUUUUCUGCUUCUGUUUAGUAUUUAGAGCAGAUUCUUGAAAGUUCAA